rnacentral:rRNA from 1 species
UACGAAGGGGGCUAGCAUUGUUCGGAAUCACUGGGCGUAAAGGGCGCGUAGGCGGCCGAUCAAGUCGGGGGUGAAAGCCUGUGGCUUAACCACAGAAUGGCCUUCGAUACUGUUUGGCUUGAGACCGGAAGAGGUUAGUGGAACUGCGAGUGUAGAGGUGAAAUUCGUAGAUAUUCGCAAGAACACCAGUGGCGAAGGCGGCUGACUGGUCCGGUUCUGACGCUGAGGCGCGAAAGCGUGGGGAGCAAACAGG